UACGGAGGGGGCUAGCGUUGUUCGGAAUUACUGGGCGUAAAGCGCACGUAGGCGGCUUUGUAAGUUAGAGGUGAAAGCCCAGGGCUCAACCCUGGAAUUGCCUUUAAGACUGCAUCGCUUGAACAUCGGAGAGGUAAGUGGAAUUCCGAGUGUAGAGGUGAAAUUCGUAGAUAUUCGGAAGAACACCAGUGGCGAAAGCGACUUACUGGACGAUUGUUGACGCUGAGGUGCGAAAGCGUGGGGAGCAAACGGG
rnacentral:rRNA from 1 species